rnacentral:rRNA from 1 species
UACGUAGGGUGCAAGCGUUAAUCGGAAUUACUGGGCGUAAAGCGUGCGCAGGCGGUUGUGCAAGACGGAUGUGAAAUCCCCGGGCUUAACCUGGGAACUGCAUUUGUGACUGCAUAGCUAGAGUACGGUAGAGGGGGAUGGAAUUCCGCGUGUAGCAGUGAAAUGCGUAGAUAUGCGGAGGAACACCGAUGGCGAAGGCAAUCCCCUGGACCUGUACUGACGCUCAUGCACGAAAGCGUGGGGGAGCAAACAGG